GGGGGUGUAGCUCAGUUGGGAGAGCACCUGUUUUGCACGCAGGAGGCCGCCGGUUCGAACCCGACCACCUCCACCA
rnacentral:tRNA from 1 species